GUGGGGAAUAUUGGUCAAUGGACGAGAGUCUGAACCAGCCAAGUAGCGUGCAGGAUGACUGCCCUAUGGGUUGUAAACUGCUUUUAUCAGGGAAUAAAGUGAGGCACGUGUGCCUUUUUGUAUGUACCUGAUGAAUAAGGACCGGCUAAUUCCGUGCCAGCAGCCGCGGUAAUACGGAAGGUCCGGGCGUUAUCCGGAUUUAUUGGGUUUAAAGGGAGCGCAGGCGGAAGGUUAAGCGUGACGUGAAAUGUACCGGCUCAACCGGUGAUGUGCGUCGCGAACUGGCUUUCUUGAGUGAGUACGACGCUGGCGGAAUUCGUGGUGUAGCGGUGAAAUGCUUAGAUAUCACGAAGAACUCCGAUUGCGAAGGCAGCCGGCGAGUCCUCAACUGACGCUAAUGCUCGAAAGUGCGGGUAUCGAACAGG
rnacentral:rRNA from 1 species